CGAUACGGGAGUGGCAGACGGGUGAGUAACACGUGGGAACAUACCCUUUGGUACGGAACAACUUGGGGAAACCUGAGCUAAUACCGUAUACGGCCGGGAGGCGAAAGAUUGAUCGCCGAAGGAUUGGCCCGCGUUCGAUUAGCUAGUUGGUGAGGUAACGGCUCACCAAGGCGACGAUCGAUAGCUGGUCUGAGAGGAUGGCCAGCCACAUUGGGACUGAGACACGGCCCAA
rnacentral:rRNA from 1 species